AGGUCCGUAGCUCAACUGGUAGAGCACCGGUCUCCAAAACCGGGGGUUGGGGGUUCGAUUCCCUCCGGGCCUG
rnacentral:tRNA from 1 species